GGCAGUUUGGCCGAGUGGUUAAGGCGAUUGACUGUAUAUCAAUUCCUUUCGAGGGCGCAGGUUCGAAUCCUGCAGCUGUCG
rnacentral:tRNA from 1 species